GGGCCAUUAGCUCAGCGGUCAGAGCAGAGGACUCAUAAUCCUUUGGUCCCCGGUUCAAAUCCAGGAUGGCCCA
rnacentral:tRNA from 1 species